CGAGGGUCUUUAAUCUGCAGAAUGACGAGACGUUGCAAGGUCUCUGUAAAAUGGGCUAGCAAGCAGCUGCUGUAUUCUUCAAUCUCUGCAAUCCUCCUGAGCAUACUUGAGACCACCCUAGAAGUCUGGGCACUGGCAAAGGGUCAGGAUCAUGACCAGGUGAGGCAUGGUGGCAGCUGUCCCUUACCUGGAUUGCCAGAACCUCAAUCACCCAGACUGAAAAGCAAAGAAUGUCUCUCUCACACAGAGAUUGUCAUCUCAGCCAUGUGGACUGCAGUGAAAAGCCAGAGAGACGUACCUGGCUCGCCUUCUGCCUUUGCAAAAGCAGUUAGUCAGACCACCAACAGAUUAGUUGGAGACUCCACAGCUACAGAACCUUAUAUGCUCUUUGAACAAAGAACUCUAACCAUUACAAUAUUUUAGCUUUGGGGAAUGAAAUAUGGAGUGUAAAAAAAUUAAUUAAUUAAAAAUAUUUUAGCUUUAGUUUUAAUUAUUUGUAUAUGUCUGUGUGCCAUUUGUAUACUUGAGUGCAGUACCUGUGGAGGCCAC
rnacentral:lncRNA from 1 species